rnacentral:tRNA from 1 species
ACUUCUAUAGCUUAUAAAAAGUAAAGAGCUUUUAACUCUUUGAAACAAAUGGUUUAAUGUUGGAGGUA